ACAUCAUCAACAGGCAAGACGGUACUAUUCCAGGAGAGAGGGAUGCAGCCGAUCGUGUAGGAUAUAUUGAGUUUGAGGUGAAAGCUGGAGAUGCAGCUUACAUGUUUCACAGAGUGACCCAAGUUAAAGCAACUCCCAUGGAAUCUGAUCAGGCAUUGAGUGACUAGCAGCCAAGAUUUCAGCUGGACAACUGGCCCUGCUGGCUCCUUCUUCUUGUAGGAACUAUGGGAUUCCUGUGACCUACAUCAAAAGUAUCAUCCAAAGGAAAGCUUCUUUACUUGAUAAAACUGGGUCUGAUUCUCUCCUUCCAAGUUCUUCACUGUUG